rnacentral:rRNA from 1 species
UACGUAGGGUGCGAGCGUUGUCCGGAUUUAUUGGGCGUAAAGGGCUCGUAGGCGGCUUGUCACGUCGGGUGUGAAAGCCCGGGGCUUAACCCCGGGUCUGCAUUCGAUACGGGCAGGCUAGAGUGUGGUAGGGGAGAUCGGAAUUCCUGGUGUAGCGGUGAAAUGCGCAGAUAUCAGGAGGAACACCGGUGGCGAAGGCGGAUCUCUGGGCCAUUACUGACGCUGAGGAGCGAAAGCGUGGGGAGCGAACAGG